rnacentral:rRNA from 1 species
AACGAACGCUGGCGGCAUGCCUAACACAUGCAAGUCGAACGAGACCUUCGGGUCUAGUGGCGCACGGGUGCGUAACGCGUGGGAACCUUCCCUUAGGUUCGGAAUAACUCCCCGAAAGGGUGCUAAUACCGGAUAAUGUCCUCGUACCAAAGAUUUAUCGCCUUUGGAUGGGUCCGCGUUGGAUUAGCUAGUUGGUAUGGUAAAGGCCUACCAAGGCGACGAGACAUAGCCGAUCUGAGAGGAUGAUCAGCCACACGGGAACUGAGAAACGGCCCAGACUGCGAAGGGAGGCAGAAGUAGGGAAGAUUCAGCAAUGGGCGAAAGCGUGAAGGAGAAACGCCGCGUGAGGGAUGAAGGGUUUCGGAUCGUAAAACUCUGUUAGAAGGGAAGAAAAAAAGUGUAAGUAACUGUGCACGUCUGGACGGUACCUAAUCAGAAAGCCACGGCUAACUAAGUG